AUUUUACACACCUUGUAUUUUGUCAUUUUCUUCUACAGUCCCUUUAUUUUAUCAAAUAUGCUACCCAUAAAAAAAGAAAAGGAAAGAUCUAAAGGGGUUUUGUUUAAUGGUGUAAAAAGGGCCCAAAAAAUAUAUAUCUUGUUUUGAAAUGUUACACAUACCACUUUAGCAACAAUAAAAAAAACAAUACAUGUAUUAUAUUACAUUCCAUGACUGAU
rnacentral:ribozyme from 12 species